rnacentral:tRNA from 1 species
CGGAUAUUUAUGGUCAUUAUUAUUCUUAUAGUUGAAUUAACAACGAUAGUUUUUCAAGUUAUUGGUCUUG